rnacentral:lncRNA from 1 species
AAAUCACCCAAGGCUGCUGCGUGUGGCAGUACAGCCAAGGACAGAGCCACAGCAUUUCACUCAUGCAUCUGCGCUCCUGCUGAAGCCAAACGCAGCCACAGCUGAGGGGAAUGAAGAGGGGAAGCUCUUUUGCAGCAAGCAAUGUGGGAUACUUGAGAAGAGAAAAUGAACUUCCAGUUCCAACAAGACCUGUCCAUAAAUUAUCAGACAGGAUGGGAUCAGAGUGUGACUGAGGGAAGUCACAAGAAAUCUGAAGCUUUUGGUUAUGUUGGCAGCAUGACUUGUGGCUCUGAGCCCAGCUGCAAGGAGAGACGUGUGCCUCCCACCACCUCCUCCCAGAAGGAUGUCAUCAAGGCAGCCCCGCCAGGGACCAGCACCUGGCCAAAUGGAAGAACAGCAAAUGGCUGGGUGGAAAGAUUCCAGACAGGGCUGGACUGGCAGCUGGAUCUUGCCCUCACUAUGUUCUGUGCGCUUAAUAGGUAUUGCAAUUAUCAUGUAAUUAAAGAACAUCAUAACAUGUACAAGUAG